ensembl:lncRNA
AAGACACAGUAUUUGACUCCAGUCAUCUGGGUGUGACUCAAUCUUUGCAUUUCUUCCCCCACAGCGAUUUUCUAUUGGCUCUAACAGUUGCUUCACCUAGCAUCCAAUUAGCAAACUCACACUAGGAGCUCGGAAGACCUUUUGAAGAGCCGGAGAAAAGUCAACUGGGUCACCAAGAUUAGAAAUGAAAAUGUAUGACUUCAAACCCCAACAAGAAUUUCUAUUGUCUGAAGACAUUUUUAGACAAAGGACUUAACAGGUGUCAGGAAGACCCUACUGAAAUGACUUAACAACAACCUUCUCAUCUUUGGUCUCCAUAUGGACAUGUAGAAGUCCUGCCCUCACUACUGGAUCCCUGGGGCUCAUUGAGGAACAUGUUACCAGCAAUGAUAUACGCUGCAAGAUUCUUGUUUAUGGUUUUUCAUUACUCCUCCACAGAAGACCUACCCAGCACAUUGGUAGCCUUCCACUGUUCUUUCUACAUUUUGUGGGCACCAGAGCAGCACUAGGACUGUCCAUCUAUUAUCUCUCAGUUUCAAUCCACAUAAUGUAUUUCAUUAUAAAAGGCCCCAUUUUCUUUUCCAGUCCUAUAUUCCUGACAAUGUCUUUUAGGUCAGUUCUUGAAUAAAAAUAUCACUUACAAUGUGCUACUCAUGCCUAUCACGAGACUCACAAAACCCAAUAUAAACCAAUAAAAAAUUCAAAAUCAAAAUAGGUUCA